AGCCUUUUUUUUGUAUAUUAAUUAAUCUUCAAUAAAACUUCUUUAUAUUAGAUUAAUAGUUGACCCUAGCCUUAACAUGUUGAAGCAUUUUUAAGUAUCUAAUUAACCUUUUGGCUCCUCAAAAUUCUAAAAGAAAAAAGUAUCUUAAUAUAUCCCUCCAAAAUCCCAAAAUUCUAAAGCAAAUAAUUUAGGCAAUAAAUAUAGGCAGUUUUUGUUCGUGGUUGGAAUAAGUAAUUAGGAGCACAUAUAUGGCCAAGACUCCAAAAUCUGUUUAUAUCCUUCUUAUAAUUAUAUUCAUUAUCUUCAUCUUCGUUACAAGUGAGGUGAGAUAGCAAAACAAUGCGAUCGUUGGAGCAAAACAUGGCAUGAAAGAUGCGUAUACGAGUGCAGGCACCGUGACAAAAGCCUAAUUGGUGGUCAUGUAGUUUUAAAUGUUACUGCUACUUCUACUGUUGAAUGGGUUGUAUGUGAUGAGAGAGCAGAUCGACUUAUCUUGUAAUUAAUAUUUGUUUUUUUUUUGGAUAAAUAGAAUUUCAAGUUACCUUUUUCAUCCAUCUAGCUUCGUUCAAUCUGCAAAUUUGGAGGGUUCCCAUUUUCGCAAACCCAAAAUCGCAUCGAUCAAAGAAUCUCGUAUUAGUAGAAGUGGAAGCAAACCAUGGCCUCUGAUACCAAUUGUCUGGGGGAGAAACACCAAGGAAGUCAAUAUCCACAUUAAGAGACCACUUCUAGCCCAAAAAAGCCUAAGCUAAUGGGCUUGGGUCCACAAAGGUGACGUGGCAUGAGCAAGAGGAAGGAGAGAAAACUUCAAAGGGUAAUCCGGUACCAUCGGACGAUUCGUCAGAGGAGGUGACGGAGAGAGUGCGGCGGUUCCUGGAGAAGAGAUCCAGGUUCUCGUCGUCGGUUUCCUUGGAGAUUCCGGUCAAACUUUGACCUUGUCGGUGCCGCGACAGCGCCGGAAAAUCCCUCCCGCCAACCAGAGAUUCCCUCACGUUCCGAUUCAUCAUUGCUCCUGUGCUGCUUCUAGUCCCAUUUCAAUGUGUAUCCCUCAGAAGAAUAGAGAGAGAGACGAGCAAGAGAGAGUGUGUGUAGUUGAUGCAAAGGAAAGGGAGACAACAAGUCACCGAGCUUUCUUUUAAGCUUCUUCUCUUGGUCGGAUUGCAGGGACUGCACAGCGGAAGUGAUUUGAGUUUUUUUAUUAGGUUUUGUUGUAAAAUUGUGGGUUUGUAAGUGAUUCUGAUGUGACCCAGAGUGUCAUUUCUUAGAACAUGCAGGAAAAGCAGAGGGCAAGGGUGAAGGAGAAGAUUGACAAGUGUUUAAAGCAAAAAUUGAUGGUUUUCUGCUAGCACCCAUGACUCAAGUUCUGGAAUUCUCGUACAAGUUCUGCAGAAAUUGUUGUCUAUUUUACUAUUUAAGUGUUUAACGGAUCCUUCACGGAGUUAAAAGAAAAAAGACAAAAAAACUAAAAAGGAGGAACGGCUGUACAUUUUCCCACAAAGCCAAGAGAGAGAGA